CAGCAGCCGCGGUAAUACAGAGGGUGCAAGCGUUAAUCGGAAUUACUGGGCGUAAAGCGCGCGUAGGUGGUUUGUUAAGUUGGAUGUGAAAUCCCCGGGCUCAACCUGGGAACUGCAUCCAAAACUGGCAAGCUAGAGUAUGGUAGAGGGUGGUGGAAUUUCCUGUGUAGCGGUGAAAUGCGUAGAUAUAGGAAGGAACACCAGUGGCGAAGGCGACUACCUGGACUGAUACUGACACUGAGGUGCGAAAGCGUGGGGAGCAAACAGGAUUAGAUACCCCCGUAGUCCCUGUCUCUUAUAA
rnacentral:rRNA from 1 species